CUUAACCUGGGAAUGGCAUUCGAUACUGGUCAGCUAGAGUUUGGUAGAGGUAAGCGGAAUUCCGGGUGUAGCGGUGAAAUGCGUAGAUAUCCGGAGGAACAUCAGUGGCGAAGGCGGCUUACUGGACCAAAACUGACGCUCAGGCACGAAAGCGUGGGUAGCAAACAGGAUUAGAUACCCUGGUAGUCCACGCCCUAAACUAUGUCAACUAGCCGUUGGGUCCCCUUAAUAGGACUUAGUGGCGAAGCUAACGCGUUAAGUUGACCGCCUGGGGAGUACGGCCGCAAGGUUGAAACUCAAAGGAAUUGACGGGGGCCCGCACAAGCGGUGGAGCAUGUGGUUUAAUUCGAUGCAACGCGAAGAACCUUACCAGCCCUUGACAUCCCGGGAAGGUUCCAGAGAUGGAACUGUGCCUUCGGGAACCC
rnacentral:rRNA from 1 species